UUGCUAACGCGGGGGUCCUGCAAUGCGCCCGGUCAACAAACCGGCAAUUGCGGGUGAGAAAUACCCUUUGAACCUGAUCUGGAUAAUGCCAGCGCAGGGAAGCGUACGGGCUUCGCCG
rnacentral:ncRNA from 1 species